AAAAAAAGAAAAAAAAAAAAGAAACAAAAAGGUCUUCUUCUUCCCUUGGUUGCCGCCCACCUUCUCCCUCUCAUCUCCAUGAAAAGCUACCAUUAAAGCUUGCAUACAAGCUUUAAUUCUUCCACUCAAUUCUCAUAACUCCCCUAAAAUACCCUACUAAAGCUUGUUAUUACUACUAAGAAGGAGAUUACAAGGAAAAAGAAGAGCAAAAGUUAGGGUUUUGAAGAUUUAAGAAAGUUGAAAAGAGUACCGGGAAGGAACCCGAGGAGUCGAGUCAAGGCAAAUAGGUGACUCAUUUGAGAUACAGAGACUAGAAGAGCAGCAGACUGAGCUGCUGAGGAUUGAGGAUCGUUCUGCUUUGAAGCUAUCGGGUAUAAUUUAUACCCUGAUCGUAAAUAUUUAUUUUGAUGUAUGU
rnacentral:misc_RNA from 1 species